UACAGAGGUCCCAAGCGUUGUUCGGAUUCACUGGGCGUAAAGGGUGCGUAGGUGGUGAGGAAAGUCGGAUGUGAAAUCUCCAAGCUCAACUUGGAAAUGGCAUUGGAAACUACCUUGCUGGAGGUUUGGAGGGGGGACUGGAAUUCUCGGUGUAGCAGUGAAAUGCGUAGAUAUCGAGAGGAACACCAGUGGCGAAGGCGAGUCCCUGGACAAAACCUGACACUGAGGCACGAAAGCUAGGGGAGCAAACAGG
rnacentral:rRNA from 1 species